CGGUCGAGGGCAGGAGAGCAGUGGCGUACGAACACGCGAGCAGUGCGGAGGGUGGUAACGCGUUUAUUGUUGUGUCGGGUGAGGCGUACGAAAACAACAGAGCACCCCUCCCCGGCGGACGACGGUGUAAAACGGGCUGCCAGCGGUGAGGCUGCAGAGCAGGCCGCUCGUCCAGCAUGCAACCACCACCGAGAAAAGGAAAUUUCGUAAAAUUCCUGAAGAAUGUGCACGCGGAGCAGGCUGCGAAGUUGCAAGCGAAAAAUCAGCACGAGUGCGACCUUCUGGAAGACAUUCGCAACUUUACAAUCAAAAAGUCUGCCAUCGAGAAAUCCUAUUCCGAGGCGCUCCUCAAAAUAUCUUCUGCCUACUUGAAUAAGAAAAUACCAAAUAUACCAGAUCUCAAAGUCGAUGGCGCAGAAGAAAAAUGGAACAUGUGGAACGUUUGGCGAACCGUGCUGGAGGAAAACGAAAAGCUCGCCAGAGCGCGAUUAGCAGCGGUGGAGGUUUUCCAACAGCAAAUCGCCGACGACGCGAAAAGUUUAAAGAUUCACAAAAUCCAGAUAUCCAAGAAGGCAAUCGACCAAUUAAUGAUAGUACAAAAAGAAUUGCAAACGUGCGUGCAAGACGUAGACAAAACGAAGAAAUUAUACUUCGACGAAGAGCAUAGCGCCCAUGAUGUACGAGACAAGGCAAAAGACAUAGAAGAAAAGUACGUGCGCGCGAUGAUUAUAAUUGAUCACGGUUUGGUAAUCGAUCGAAAACCUAAUGCACGAUUUAUCGUCGUUUUCAGACUGAAGAAAAAGAAGGGGUCCUUCUUUCAAUCGAUAACUUCAUUACAAAAGAACAGCGCUAAGGUAAGCUCUAAACGCGAUGCUUUGGAAGAAAAAUCAACCGGAGCUCGGAACGAUUAUUUACUUAGUCUCGCCGCUGCGAAUGCCCAUCAAAAUAGAUAUUUUGUAGUCGAUUUACAAAACACCAUGCAGUAUUUGGAGCAAGGCGUUUACGAUAAGGUGGCUGAAUAUUUAACCCUGAUGGGUCGUACAGAACUGUUGACCUGUUUGGCAACGCAAAACAGCUUCACGAAAAUUCGCGAUCAAGCACAACAGCUCACCAGAGAGUACAACAUACAAUGUUGCUGUCUGUAUUAUCCUGUUUUGAAGCAACACAUACAGUACGAUUUCGAGCCUUGCGAUCACGAUCCAGUAGAAAGGAUAACGGCCGAUCAUGCCGCUGCAGCCACGCUCGGGAAGGAAGCUCGUCGCUGGUCGACGAGAAUAGCUCGCGAAGUAAGCAGCAUCCGAGAAAAUAAUAGGAAACUUCAAGUUCUCGUGCAACUUAAAGAAUCUGGACAAAAGACUGAUCCGAACGAUCCACAAGGGCCAGAUAUAGACACGAAAAUCGACGAACUGAAGCACGCGAUACGACGAGCAGAGACAGCAAAGCUAAAGGCAGAAUCAAGAAUAGAAUGCCUUCGAAACGGUGGAGUGAACGUCGACGAAUGGCUUCAAGAGGUCGAAACAUUAAGCGUGCAGGAUAUGCCGCGUUCGGCCAGCUCCCUGUCCGUCAGAACCGACGCGUCUGGAACGGCGGAACAUCCGUCGUCAGAUUCGUUCUACGACAGCGACGGAGAUGGUGGAAGCGAUUUGACAACCGUCGAGCGGCCAGGCAGCGCACGAAAUGCUCCUCAACAAGAAGAGGAAUCAACAGAGGAAAGACAGAGGCACGAUAGCGAAGAAGUAGAUGCUUUGCUCGAACAAGAGAAACAACGAAUAGAGCAACUCACCGUCGGUUGGGAUGACCCGACAGCCGUAGAUUGGGACAACGAGGAGAAAGACGAACAAACCGAAGUCCACGAAACAUCUGAACAGCCUCCGGCUCAACCUAUAUACAAAUGCACCGCGCUUUAUUCGUACACGGCACAAAAUCCAGACGAGUUGUCGAUCGUCGAGAGCGAACAACUCGAAGUCGUCGGCGAAGGUGACGGUGACGGUUGGCUACGAGCACGAAAUUAUCGAGGCGAGGAAGGUUUCGUUCCUCAGAAUUAUCUCGACGUCGAGAGAGAGCCUGAGGUUACUUCUGGUCUCAGCUCUCAAGGUCCGUUGCUCGUACAGCAAAUAUCUUUCUCCUCGGUUGAUUAUACGAUCGACGAUCACGAUGCAGUCGAUCCCGACGCUAAUCUACAACAGGCUGCCCCUGAAGCUAUUGUACAAAAUCACAUAGGAGAAAUGGAACAAUACUGUAUCGCUCUUUACGAUUACGACGCCACAUGCGACGAAGAACUUAGCUUCUUCGAGGGUGACAUUAUGAGAGUUCUGAAGAAGGAACCACACGACGUGGACGACGGAUGGUGGGAAGGUGAAUUACGUGGACAACGAGGAUUGUUCCCGUCUUUAAUAGUGGAACCAUGUGGCGCUGACGGUUCGCCUUUGACCCCGCAGGAGAACAUAACGCCGCCAAGCUCCGCGCCACCUGUAUUUACGCCACCAGAGGUUCCAGAAUUCUUGUUAGAAGAGGAACUAGCGCAAAGUUUAAUGAAAGAAUCGCAAGGUGGAAAACCUAGCGACGUAAACGUUGAACAACAGCAACAGCAAGAUGGUUUUAUAAUAAAUCUUUCGAAGGACCAGAAGAGUCAGUAUGGCUCGCAAUUCGAUGGCGAUAAGGAAUCCGGGCCUGGUAUAGUGGUUGUAGAAGUAUCGGAUGAAUCGGGAACCAAGGCAGAUGAUGAAAAAUCAAAACAGUCGCAAUGCUUGAACAGCGACCAGUCUAACGAUGAUUUUGGACUCGGUGUUGCCCAAAUAGUGAUCACCGCGGCGACGCCGAUGGAAGAGAUCGAGCAUCCGUUUCCAGGGCUAGAGGAGACCACCGACGACGCGGUGAAAUCCACAGAAAGCUCCGAGGGUGAUCAGCCAUCGAGUACGACAACCACCGACAUGAAUGAAAGCGACUGCAAGGAAGCAACGGUAAUAAUGGAUGAGAAAGAGGAGCAAGAAGUCACAGAAGCAGCCGAAGACAUCGAAGAGAAGUCGACGGUCGAUGAAUUACCGGCAGACUCUGCCCCGUUCCCAGUUAGCAGCAGUUCUGGUAGCGAGGCGGACUCGACAUCCGGGCCAAGCACAGGAGACAAUUCCCAAUCGAUACCAUCUCGCGGCACUGUGAUCGAGGUACAAGAAACCGAAACGGAGGACAUCGAGAUCGUACCCGAGAAAAUGAUGGUAGUGGGAGGAAGGGCAAGUAUUCCAGAUGAGUUACAACCCGACCAGCUAGAGAAGCUGCAAAAUCUGAAAGAAUCGAAUGCCUAGGAUUGACUAGACCUCGGAGAUCCCGAUUAUCCUGCCUUAACAAAUAAACUGGCUCUUCCAAAAAAUCAUCAGAAUAAAUUCCAGCAUCUGCUGGAAUUCUGGAAAUCUCCAGAGGUUAUCGGGAAGAAAGACUAACCGGGAAUCGAGUAAACGGGACGACUGGGCAAAUUUUUAUGUUAAUACUAUGUACACAACAUUUUUGCUAGACGAUACUCUAGUGAACUAACUAUUUAAAAGAAGGGUGUUGCGACUUUUGCAACGUAUUUACAAGACGUUAAUGUACAGUCAUAAGGAUACAAUCCACAGCAGCGAAACUAUUCCAAAAAAAACACUUGUUGUGAAUAACAUUUGCUAGCAUGAUCGAAUGAAUUUCACAGAAAUAUAAUACCAAAUACAGGAAAACUAGAUUUGUGAAAUAAGUAUAAUAUGGUACUAAAACAUGUACGAAUGUAAAGUAACGAGCUAUGAAAAUGUUACAUGAAAUUUUCUCGGCUUUGCAAAUUAAUAUUUACAAUUAUAAUUGUACUCCAUUUACAUGAAGAGAUAAAAAAAAAUACACAAG